CUUUGAAAAGCUAAAUAAGGUGAAGAGGAUGUAGAAAAUAGACCUUAUUUGGAGAACUGUGAACCCUACGGUGGCAUCUGUACUAAAGGAUCAUUUUGUGGGAGCAAUACCAACCUACUUCCUCUGAACGUUUGAGUAGAAGGGUGAGCUUCUCAGGAUUUUUUUCCUUGAAAAAAAAAAGGAUUAACUCUGACCAAGGUCAGAGCAACUAGUCACCAAUAUUCUUCACGGGUGAGUCCGGCCUCCUGCAUCCCUGGAAAAUAUCACCUGAAACAUCCACCUAUGCACAGGACUUUAACAGGGAAUUUUGCAGUGUCAG